UAAAAUUGCUCAGUUGGUAGGGCAUGAGACUCUUAAUCUCAAGGUCAUGGGUUCGAGCCCCACAUGGGGCAAAA